AAUUUUGUUGUCAUUGGUCAUAAAUUUUCCAUCAGUUGAAAUAUUUAGUUGUUACUCUGUCUAGGAUUGUGGGAAUAAAUAAAGUUUGCUUUUUUCUUGCUUCCCUUCUAGGUUGAUUGAACCAUGUUGUUUUCAGUGAAUUGAUUUUUUUUUAUUCCAAUUUGAUUUGGAAAUAAGUAGUAUUUCACUUAUUCUUCUUUUUCAAUCAGA
rnacentral:misc_RNA from 1 species